UAUUUGGGACAACAACUUGCCUUGGCCUUUGUCACUGUUUAGACACUAUCAUGGACUACUGUGGGAAUGUGGGAACCCUUCCUGGCUGUUGGACAGCCUCAGGGACUGGAGGCCUUGGAAGUUCCAGCCUUGGAGUUGCAGGAGGAGGUUGGCACUGGAAGACCCCUGACAACUGCAUCCUUGGAUCCUCCAUCUCCUCUGCAGCCUCAAACCCCAUGAAACUUUGUGGGAUUUGGAGCCAGCAAAGCAGAAGCAGACACUCUGGCUGGGCUGGUUACUUCUCCCCAUCCUGACCCUGAACCUCAAGGCAGAGUUGGAAUCAGGAGUAUGGAGCCUGGAGUUUCUGGGAUUGUUGCAGAGAAAAUGCCCAGGCCUCCAGCUGGAGGGAGCUGCUAUUUGGAGAGUUAGAUGCCUCAGAGCCAACACACAGAGCUCAAGGAGGAGUCUGAGGAGAACACUCACACGAGGAAGCAGGAAAGUGCUUCCACAUCAGGAGUCUGAGGAAGGUGCCUGCGGACCAGGGUCUUGAAGCGCUGCCAGUGCUGGAAGUUCUCAUAGACGCUGUGAGGUCUGCUGGAGUCAUCUGGUGGCACUGCAGCUGGGAAGGUGGGUGGUGUACCCUCCCCAUACACUGUACCUGGCCAUUGGCACACAUUCAUUGGGAAUAUGAUGGAACCAGCUGGGCAAAUGGUCUUGGUGAUAGAGGCAGAAGGCCCAGGUGCCAGUGGAUCCCAUAGUUCUGGAUCCUCCCACUGGCUGAAGAAGGCACAGUGGUUCUCAGGACAGAAGGUGCUUCUAUGAAUGGAGCAGGUUGCUCCACACCCCCACAGUUGGCCUCCGGGGCCCUCCAGUUGAGGGGUGCCUGAGUGUGGGCAAUAUUCUGAAUAUGAGGAGGCCCUGCUGGCCUCAGUUGUGGCCCAUGUUUUCCAAAGGU